rfam:Triticum aestivum genome assembly, contig: Triticum_aestivum_CS42_TGACv1_scaffold_080324_1DS
GUAAUACUCUCUCCGUCUGAAAAUACUUGUCAUCAAAAUGGAUAAAAGGAGAUGUAUCUAGACGUAUUUUAGUUCUAGAUACAUCCCUUUUUAUCCAUUUUGAUGACAAGUAUUUUCGGACGGAGGCACCAAUGA